GCCUACGGGGGGCAGCAGUAGGGAAUUUUCGUCAAUGGGCGCAAGCCUGAACGAGCAAUGCCGCGUGAACGAGGAAGGUCUUCGGAUCGUAAAGUUCUGUUGAAGGGGAAAAGAGCGGAGAGAGGAAAUGGUCUCCGAUUGAUAUUACCCUUCGAGGAAGUCACGGCUAACUACGUGCCAGCAGCCGCGGUAAUACGUAGGUGGCGAGCGUUAUCCGGAAUGAUUGGGCGUAAAGGGUGCGUAGGCGACCUGCUAAGUCUGGAGUGAAAGGUACCGGCUCAACCGGUACAGGCUCUGGAAACUGG
rnacentral:rRNA from 1 species